GUCGGCGUGGUGUAAUGGCUAACACAUCAGUCCGGUCUACUGAGAUGCUGGUUCGCUCCCAGCCGCCGAAU